rnacentral:rRNA from 1 species
CAACUGAAGAGUUUGAUCCUGGCUCAGAGUGAACGCUGGCGGCAGGCCUAACACAUGCAAGUCGAGCGGCAGCACGGGGGCAACC